rnacentral:rRNA from 1 species
AGAGGGCUCGAGCGUUAAUCGGAAUCACUGGGCUUAAAGGGUGCGCAGGCGGAUCAGUAAGUGUCUUGUGAAAUCCCACGGCUCAACCGUGGAAUGGCUUGGCAGACUGCUGAUCUUGAGCCCGGCAGGGGCCGUCGGAACGCUAGGUGGAGCGGUGAAAUGCGUAGAUAUCUAGCGGAACGCCAAAGGUGAAGACAGACGGCUGGGCCGGCGCUGACGCUCAGGCACGAAAGCGUGGGGAGCGAACGGGAUUAGAUACCCCGGUAGUCCACGCCCCUAAACGAUGUGCACUAGGUCGAGGAGGUUUUGACGCCAUCUCGGCCGUAGUUAAACAUUAAGUGCACCGCCUGGGGAGUACGGUCGCAAGGCUA